rnacentral:lncRNA from 1 species
AAAGUCGCGGUUCCGGUGUUCAGGAUGCCAGGGAUGAUGGGAAGCCUGUUCUUGUUUAUCGGUUUGUACGGAACUUCACCCGCGGUAGAGUACGGCCUGAGAAUUUUGUUCCAGCACCGGUGUGAGGAAAACAUCUGAGCCCAUGAAUUGCCAGACCCUGGAUACCUGAGACACAUCCACUUGCUUCUCAGGUUUGGAGUGCAUAAUGAGGAGAAAUAAAAACAGAAAGAUCUCCAGAAAGAAGCCAUGGUAAGAUUCAAGGUUUCACAGUCCAAGCUAAUGCCUGUGGACACUUGACCAAGUGAUCUGAGAAAAUUGGAUUUCUGGCAAAACAAGUGUACCUAGACUCAGGCAAGGGUGGAGAACAGAGGGCGACUAGAUUAAAUGGAAAGAAUGCCCAGGCAUCCCAUUGCCUCCCUUUGACGUUCCAGAACUUCAUCAAGACAGUGAUGAGCUACAUGUACACCUGGAGGAGAGUUCAGGAUCAAGCUCAGAAGCGCACAGCUGCCAGCAAGCAGUCUACUACUGAACUGCACCAUCUCUCCAGCCUGUGCUUACUCUUGAAUAGCCCCAAAGUAGUCAAUGGUAUGGCAAAAUAAACCUCCAUUUCAUUUAGAUUUUUAUAGUAUUUUUUGCCACUUAAAUUAUUUUAUGUAGUUGAGUAUGAUUUUUUUUCCCCCUAAGGAAUUCUAUGUAUCUCAAUUUCAAGAGUCUUCAGCCUUUAUGUUAUACAUAAUUUCCUAUAGAUUUCAAAGUUGCUUUAAUAAAAAGUUUAAUGUUAAAACAGUUGUGGAUUUACAUGUAGUUAUGUGACUACAUUAUCCUUUACCUUUUUUCUCUAAUGAAAUUAUCUUCCAAAAAUAUAUCACAAGCAGAGAAUGGACAUUAAUAUAAUAGAUUAAUCUGAUUCCUGUUUUUUUCCUAGAUAUAGGUACACUCAUAUAUGUGUAUGAGUUUAAUUUUAUGUAAUUUUAUUACGUGUAGGUUUGUGAAUCCAUGACCAUCAUAUUUGGGAUACAGAAUGUUUAGUACCACAAAGAUUCCUUAAAUGUUGUCCUUUUAUAAUCAUACCACCUCUACCUCCUUAUACUCCAUGCCUCUCCUUAGCACUUAAAGAACAUAAAUCUCUCAUAUAUCUCUCUAAUUUUGUACUAUCAAAAAUGUUACAUUACUACCUCUGGUCCACACCCCACAGCUGCCCAGCAUGGUCCCUCAAGCCUGAACCCAGCUUACUUUGCCUUUGGUUGCUCAUGUCACAACCAUUCCAUUCCUUUGCUUCAAGGUGUGGGCCCUGAAAGGAACUGUAUACCUGCUCUGCCCAUGACUGCUUCUGCCUCUACCUCAAUGUACUGUAACUGUUUAACAAGGUUGCUCUGGCUCAGGCUGAGAAAUUGACUCCACCCUUACCCUGACGCCUGGCAUGUCCACAUGUGGUCCUGUGUAGUCAGCAACCCCAGGUAUGGUAAGGAACCUUCCCAUCCCAAGUCCUCAGCCAUUGACCUCUGGCCUCAACCCAAACUCGGUCAGAGACCUUGUCUUUACCCGGAGCCGAGACCCCUUAGCAUGGGUUCUGCCACCUCAGAGGUCUCCCCAAGCUCUAUCGCCUACAAUCCAACUUUGCAUUCUGACCUGGUGGGUAAAAAACCCAUACCAAAAUACAGCUGACAAUGUAAAUCCAGAUGCCCAGGUUACAGCACAAAAACUAGAUAAACUAAACCAAUAUCUAAUUGUUCUCUAAAUCACCAAUCUCAUAAUAAUGUUCCCUAAAGAGAACAAGUUACAAGAAAUUAAAGACACGGAAUUCCAAAGGACAAUACAUGUUCAACAAGCUCAAACCAUUCAGAGAGGGCACAGAAUGAAAUUAAAGACAACAGGAAUAAAAUUCUGGGAGUCCAAGUAUACAAAAACACAGCUCAGCAACACAUGGAACAGCAAGACUGUAAAUUCUCAGUCCAGCUAUGGAUAAUUUAGGAUCCUUUGUAGGUGAGUCAGUCGGUUGGUUGUGGGUCAUAGGUGGUGGUUGUGUCACUUACAUUGCUCUGUCGUUUUAUACAUUUGUUGAAGUGGAUUCCUUUUGACUUUCCUCCUCUUCUGAGCCUAUUAUAUUCUAUUUGCUGCCUAGAGGACCAUUUGGAUGAAGCUGAGCUUAGGGAACUGGUGAAACCUAGUGAUAAUUAUUGAAUGGGUUGCUGAAAUCUCAUCUUGGCUAUGUGUCAACAGGACCAAAACCUUAGUCUUUCCUUAGAUUAUAUGAACAUGCUGGAAAUGGGCUAUCAAAUUUCAGACCUAGUAAAGUCUGUCUACUAUCUGGAGCUUAGAAAAUCUUAAUGAAAUGGAUAUUUUUCUAGAUACCACUUACCAAAGUUAAAUCAACAAAUAUUUAAAUAGUCCCAUAACCCCUAAAGAAAUAGAAGCAGUCAUUUAAACUCUCCCAACCAAAAACAAAACAAAACAAAACAAAACAAAACAGGGACAGAUGGUUUUAGUACAAAAUUCUACUAGACUUUCAAAGAAGAACUAAUUAAUGCUAAUUUUUAGUUGCAUUUUAAAAAUAAUAAUAAAGCAUAUUCUUUUAAGGUCUAUAAAGAAUAGGGGCUCACAGAGACUAAACUGCCCACUAGGGAGCCUGCAUGGGCCUAACCCAGGCUUCCUGCACCUACCUUAUGGUUGCAUAGUUGGUGUUCUUGUGGGACUCCUAACAGUGGGAGCAAGGGCUGUCUCUGACUCUGUUGCCCACCUUUGGGACCCUUUCCUCCUACUGAGUUGUCUUGUCUAGCCUUAAUAGGAGAUGCACUUAGUCUUACUGCAACCUGAUAUGCAAUGGCUGGUUGAUAUCCAUCAAGGCUGGCUAUUUUCUGAAGAGAAAUGGAGAAGGAGUUGAUGGCAGGAGGAGUGAGAUUAAGGAGAGGAGGGAGGGGAAACUGGAGUCAGGAUAUAAAAUAAAUAAACAAAAUGACAAUAAGUCUUAUAUUUUAAAAUACUAAAAUUAAAUUUUCAAGAUCUCAAAUAAUUUUACUGUAUACCUUUGGAAAAAUAAGGCUAAUCCAAACCCCAAGACACUAGAUGGGGAGAAAUAAUUAAGAGCAAGGAAGAAAUUAAUGAAAUAGAAAUGAAAAAAUACAAAGAAUCAGUGAAGACUUGGUUCUUUGAAAAGAUAAAUAAGAUUGACAAACCUCUAGCCAAACCAAAAACAAGAGAAAGAAGACCCAAACUAAGACAAUUGGAGUCAGAAGGGAGACAUUACACAGGCUGAGAUGGUUCUAUUUAGAAACAUACAUGUAUAUAGAGUAUGAGUGUUAACAGUUAAUUUUUUUUAUUAGAUAUUUUCUUUAUUUACAUUUCAAAUGUUAUUCCCUUUCCUGGUUUCCCCUCCGAAAAUCUGCUAUCCUCUCCCUGCCCUGCUCCCCAACUCAUCCACUCCUGCUUCCUGGCCCUGGCAUUCCUCUAUACUGGGGCAUAGAGUCUUCACAGGACCAAGGCCUCUCCUCCCAUUGAUGACCAACUAGACCAUCCCCUGCUACAUAUGCAGCUAGAGCCAUGAUUCCCUCCAUGUGUACUCUUUGAUUGGUGGUUUAGUCCCAGGGAGCUCUAGGGUUACUGGUUAGUUCUUAUUGAACAACAGUUAAUUUAGAAGAGGCCAUGAAUUUAAAAGAAAGUAAGGAGGGAUAGAGUUCUGUAGAGUUUGAUGGUAGGAAAAGGAAGGAGGAAAUGAUACAAUUAUCAAAAAAAAUUU